rnacentral:rRNA from 1 species
UGCGUAGGUGGUUUAUUAAGUUUCAAGGAAAAACUUAAGUUUAAAACUUAAUUGCCUUUUAAUACUAAUAGACUAGAGUUUAAAAGAAGAUAGCUGAACAUUAAGUGUAAAGGUGAAAUUUUCAAUAUUUAAAGGGCAUUCGGUAGGCGAAAGCUGCUAUCUAUUUUAAUACUGACACUGAGGCACGAAAGCAUAGGGAUCGAACA